CCUGAGAGGAAGAGGAGGCAGAGAGUAGCUAGCUGACUGUCUCAAGGGCCUGGAUACCAGCAAGGGGUCUGUCAGUCUUUGGACGUGUAUUCCCAGCAGACUGACAGACAGCCUUCCAGGGAGAGGGUGGCAUUGGAGCCCAGGCAGCAAGAGGCUGUUUCUGGGAACAAUCCUUAUUGUUAAUCCCUCAAGUCUCAAUUCAGGAACAAAUGGGCUUUCAGAAGUGAUGGAAGUUACUUUCUAGAUAAGUUAGCAAAACUGCAACAACUAAGAAAGAUUGUAUCUUUUUAAUUCCCUCCUCUUCCUCAAAUACUACUGCCUUGCUUCUUGUCUCCAUUUGUUUUUUCUUUCUUCAGAAUUUCUCUGUUGGGGUGAUGGCUGGACAUGACUCUGUCCAGCAGGAAGACAUUGGCCUUCGCUCCUAUUGUCUCAUAAUCUGGAACAGAGUAGCACUCCCAAGGUUUAGAAGAGCUGGGUUCCUUCCUGCUGCCCCUUCUUUCACCUGGGUCACUGACUCCAGGCUUUGCCUCCACGGGCAGGAGAGAUGGCUUAGAGGUUAAGAGCACUGAGUGCCCUUUCAGAGGUCCUGAGUUCAAUUCCCAGCAACCUCAUGGUGGCUCACAACCAUCUGUAGUGAGAUCUGAUGCCCUCUUCUGGUGUGUCUGAAGACAGCUGCAGUGUACUUAUAUAUAAUAAAUAAAUCUUUAAAAAAAAUUUUCCCUUGUUUGAUUUGGCUUUCUUGGGGGCAAGGACUGAACUCAGGGAUGCUCAUAUGAUAGAUUACCACUGAGUCACAGUCCAGCCCUCACACCUGAGUUUUACAUCUGCCUUUGGGUUAUGGCAAUAAUCCUCGAGCCUUGGGGUUUGGGGAUUUAGCUCAGUGGAAGAGUGCUUGCCUAGCAAGCGCAAGGCCCUGGGUUUGGUCCUCAACUCCAAAAAAAUAAAAAUAAAAAAAAAAUAAAAAAAUAAAAAUAAAAUAGUUGGGCCUCAAGGAGAUGACCC